rnacentral:rRNA from 1 species
UACGUAGGGUGCAGGCGUUAAUCGGAAUUACUGGGCGUAAAGCGUGCGCAGGCGGUUUGCUAAGACAGGUGUGAAAUCCCCGGGCUUAACCUGGGAACUGCGCUUGUUACUGGCAGGCUUGAGUGUGGCAGAGGGGGGUGGAAUUCCGGCGUGUAGCAGUGAAAUGCGUAGAGAUGCGGAGGAACACCGAUGGCGAAGGCAGCCCCCUGGGCCAAUACUGACGCUCAGGCACGAAAGCGUGGGGAGCAAACAGG